CCUGUAAGGAGAGGCAAAGAAAUCGACAUUAUUUCACACUAGCUUUUCUGGACAGUGGCUUUGGAGAUGGUGGGUGAGAUAGGGAUCUAAGCUGCGGGUAAGCUUCAGCUCUCAGCCCUGUGUCUCCGUAUGCUGCCUGCUAAUGCUAAGCCACAGCUUCCUUUUUUCUAAGUUUCCACAUGUUUCCUCUGUAGCUGCAAGGCUGUCCAGGCUGCAAGAAGGAGCCCCUGGGGCCCAGACAUGGGCUGAGCUCUGUCCUGGCCCCACUCCAUUCCAACUUGGCACGAGGAGAGGAGGACAUGUCUUCGGAGCAGAACAGAUGAAAAGCGCACGAUUUCUGAUUCAGAAAACCCUGGAGCUAGAGGUUCUCAGAUGUUCCUGCUCCGUGAUCCUCUUCCGUUCUCUUCUUACCCGGCACACAAGAAAACCAUGAGGAGUAGUGGGCAGAGAGUGCCCAGGAGACCUGAGUUUGAGUUCUGUGUAAUCUUGGGUUCCCACGACUCACUCUGGGCUAGGGCUUCUAGCAGUAAAUGACCAAAGCAGACAGAGGUCCUUCUAAGUUGCAAUUCCUGGGGCCUUAAACUUCAAGGGCUUGCAGAACCUUCCCUGCAACACCACCUUCCCUUCUGCCCGCCCCGCAGUGGCCCACAUGCCCAGGGCUCGGUUUCUCGUGUCUCUGCUGCUCUGUCUGCGCCAGAGCCUGGCUCUUUGCCACCUACCUUCUGGGUGGAGUGGAGGGUGCUGAGGGCUUGUGUUUAGAAGGGAAGUGAGAGAAGUCUGAGCCUGCUGCAAGCCUGGGUCGCUUGGGGAGGGUCGGGAGGGUGAGGUGGCUCAAAGUUUGUGUUUAUUUCUGUUUGCCUGGUGGAAAUGGAGACUGGGGUGCUGGGAGCCAGAGACGAUCCAAUAAACACGAUUUGUGGGGCUCUACUCCCUGAGCAUUUCACUUCUCUGCUUCAGGAUUUUUGCCUGAAACCUUUCAACACCGAGCUCUUAGCUAAAGCUUGGCACUGUUCCUCAGCCGCUGGCCUUCCUGUCCAACCGGCCGGGCUGCCAAAAGCGGCUCAUUGUGUUUUGGGGCAGUGGGGUUUAGUAAGACCUAUGAUCUCAUUCUUACAUUUUUCUCCUCACAGCCCACACUGGAACUACAAAUCUCAAGCCCGACAUGGAGCUGAAGAAGCUGAAAUGACAGCGGGGUCCACAUUGGGGAAACUAAGGAGGGGUAUUAAGAGAGAUGUUAUGAGAAACAUCAAUAUGGCCCCUCCAUUAUCUGGGUAUUCCAGAGGAAACCUCCAGAAUGGCCCACUCCCCAAACGUAGAAACAUCUAAAGCUAGUGAGAUUUCGUGACCCAUAGUAUUCUCUGCUUGGUGCCCGGUGAUAUGCUCAGUGGAGGUAAAAAUGCAAAGUAUGGCCUGGAAAGAAUUUUUUUUUUUUUUAACGGUUUUUCAGAAGUGACUGCCAUCCGUAGCACUCCGCACGUGAAGUGGCAGAUGGAGUUGCACGCGCCCCAGGGGAGGGAGGAUGUGUGCAGCGAGUUCUUUCUGACUCCAGUGUGUUUCUUACUAAGACACAGGAAGGCCCGUGCCAUUCGAUGCCUCGGCUCAUCGCUGCUCAAGACUCAAUUCAGCCCAAAUUACUCUUGUUGGAGAAGUGAACUUGGAUGGUUCCUUUAACGAGGCAGGAAGGGGAAAUUCCAUCUUCUGCCUGAGCUCCGCACAGCCUGCCCGAAGGCUGAGGGGUCUGGAUGCCGAGCCGGUGACCGACUUGGAUCCAGGAGCAGUGGAGUCAGCAGAUCUGAAGGCUCUGGCUCGCUUGGAAGCAGAUGCCAUUAAAGCAGAACAGAAUCUCCUCCAAACAGGCUGCCACCCCAGCUCACAUGGCCACCAUCUGCUGUAGCAGUGUCCCCACUGUUCUGUGCUCCUGGCUUCUUCUGGUUACCUUCCCAGGCAAGGGGUGCUGCCUGGUUGGGCAGGCUGUAAGCUAGAAAUAAUGGCUUUAGCACCCCGACUCAAGGCAGGAGCAGACCUCUCUACUGUGGAGUCGGGCCAGUGCCGGGAGAAGUUGGUGGUGGCCCCAUCUGCUUCCUUCCUCUCACCAGUUCCCUCCCUCCGGUCCCCGCCCGUUCUUUCUUCAGGCCUCUGGGGCUCUCUCUCGCUUGGCAGCUACAUCUGGUGGGCCGGCUCGGAGCUAUGAGCUUCUGCCUCCCAGCUAGUGGGAUAUGCAGUUUGACAGAGAGCCCCGGGAAGAAAGCAGAGCUGAUUCCAGAGGAAUGGACUUGUGAAUGGUGCCUGGGCACAUGCCCAGCUUGUUGGCUCCCAGGCCAGGGAGAUACUAUUGCCGAAGGUGGCCUUUGGAGUGUCCGUCCUCUGAAUUAGACCAUCUAGGUCAUUGGCUACGUUUUUGGGAGUAGGGCUGGCACUGACACAAAUUAAUUUCUAAUUCUGCCCUCCGAGUAGCGGAACCCAAGAUCUGGGACUGUUGGCAUUUAGUAGGCUGCCCUGGGGGCGAUUUCUUCAGACAUUUGUGCCACUUCUUUUAGCAAAGGGUUUGGACCUGGUCCUAACUGUAGGGCUUUGGGUGUCUUACGGAGCUAAAACAAAGUAUCAUGGACUAUGUGGCUUAAACAACAAACGUUUAUCUCUCAUAGUUUUGGAUGCCGGGAAUCCGAGACGCUGCUGCUGGCUGAUCUGGUUCCUGGUGGGAGGUCGUGGAUGCUGGCCUCCUUCUGGCCAUCAGAGGGUGUGGGGGAGGUUGAGAACCCAGGUACUCCGAUUUCUAGUCCAUUGUUAUUUCAGCAACCUUCUUGUGUCGCAGGUACCAGUUGUUCUUUUAGUUACAAUGUCUCCUCCAGACUUCCUUUGGCAAGAAAUCUGUGCUUCUGAAGUCAAUUUAAUAAUAAGGAUAUCUGUCCUCCAAUGGAACUUGAAACCUAAGGACUUACAGAUGACACCAUCAAACAAGUAACAUCUGCCUCAAAAACCAGGCCUAACAUAUAUAUUCUGCUCUGGGCAAAAGCAACAGGACCUCUUAUAAAGAGAGCUGACAACUUGAAUAACUGUAUCGCAUGGUCGUGGAGAUCAAACGGUGGCAAGAGUCACCUGAGACAGAAAGCAUUUCACAUGCUGUCAACAGGAAGCUUGAGACCCUUGCUUGACCCGAUCGAUAUGAUGAAGAAUGAGAAAGACUGUGCCAUCCAGUUGGGGGGGGGGGUGGCGGUUAGUAAGGGCAAGCACGUGGGAGGAAGGAGACCAAGGGACAGAGAGGCCAAGGGUGGCACAGUAGGAAGGCAAAAGGCACCCAUUUCCCCCAGCUUGACGCACUGACUCCUAGAGGCAGGUGUGUUCUGUGCUGGAAAGGAACGGACCGAAAGGCUGUCCUCAGAAUCCUGCAGCCCGCUCUUCGGCGGGGCGCACCAAGCGAACCACCUUCAGGCUAUAUUUCCAGGCUGGCCAGAUGAGACACACACGAGGGUCCUGAAAGCUGCAAGGCUCAGUGGGAAGAAUGGGACACAGCAUCUCCCACCAGGUGAAGGGAAAGGACGAACCCAAGGUACUGACGACGAAGAAGACUGGAGGGGACUUUUGUAGAAACAACCAUAACGGAACAGGAAACGGAAGAGGUGCAGGGGCGUGGCAGUGCAGGGCAGAGCCCCUGAGGAGAGGAACUGGCAUUUUAUGCAUUACUCCCAUCUGCUGGUUGGCCACAAGCCCUCUGUGGAGUCCAAGGGACCUGUGAAACCACCCGAGCAGUCCCAAGGCUGUCUUCCAUAUUUGGAAGGGAAGAGGUUGAGGUCUCGGAGAGGAGGAAAGAUGAGAAACACUUGUGCUAUACCGACCUAGUGAUUGAUUUGUUUUCUACCUCAACUCCAUUUGACACGUGAGCUUUGACAAGUCACAAGUGUCCACAGGGAACUCAUCUGCAAAAUGGAGCCCAUCCUCCAGGUGUGAACAGGAUGUUUUGAAGUCAAUACCAUCGAACAUGAGGCUGCUUCUCCCGAUGCAGCAGAGAUUGAAAUGUCACAGCAGCAUGAUCAAUUAGAUGAUGGAGAAUAGAGGCAUUUGCUACCUGACCUUAAUCCACCGGGCCAGAGGGACUGCAUGGAGAAGACUGAAUGUGGAGAGACUCCCAGGCAGAGGAAAGUGGCAGAGGAGAGUUCAAACGGGUGCCGAGCCGCUUAAAUGUUGACUCAUGACGAAAAGGAUAUCCUCAGGAUAAAGGCUUAUGAUGACACGUAUUGGUUCACUCAUUCAGUUCUGAGUGAGGACAAAAUAAACAUAAGCACCUUUUAACAGCAGCAAAAAAAAAAAAAAAUAUGGUAGAAAAGGAAGCAGGUAAGUUUUUGCAAAAAGUCUGGAUUUUGGAUCAUGUAACCUGCUGAACUGAAGUGACAAGGAGAAAGACGCCAAUGACAUGCAGCUGUCAGAUGCUCUACGAAGAAGACAGUGGGAGAUGUGACUAAGGCACCAGGAGAGCUGUCUUUCUCUCUUUAAAGCCCUGUCCUGGGAAGGAGGGUUAGACACCUUGGGAUGGGAAUGACAGACAGGAGGGGUGUGACUUACUCGAAGGAAUGGCUCCCCAGUAUUUGGAACUUGACAACGGUCUCUGGAGCCACCCUGACCGGCUUCCCUGGGGCUGCUUCGGCGGAUAAACACGGUGGUAGAGGGUGGUAGAGGGAUUCUUGCGUUAAACUAGAUGACUUCAAUCACUCCCUAAUAUGCCUGCCCUGGAGCUUCAUACCCUCCUUGGAGAGGUCUAAGAUGGCCCUGAGGCUUGUUGAGGAGCAGAACUAAAUGAACUUCGGAGCUGCUUAGGCUUUGAUAGAAUCAGUCCUUCUCGGCAGCAUGUGUGCGCAUCACCGUGGGCCUGGGAAUGGUUGCGAGUCUAUUUUGAUUAUGGACAGCUGGUGUUCGCUAAGGGCUUUAUCGGAUUAGUCAUCCGCAGUAACAAUGAUAUGAAGCCUUUCCCCUGGAUGAUUAGUCGAGAUCUGUUAUGUUUACUCUUUCAGUUUUAUACUUAUUUUUCUUUUCCGUUUAAGGACAACUCAAUGUAAAAGGGUGUUGUGGUUGGGAAUCUGUUUUCCCAAAAAAAGCCACUAUUUUUUCCUAGGAUCCAUUUGGUUGUUUCUAUUUGUGGAGUUCCAUUGCGAGACAGCAGUUUAUCAUAGCUGUGGAAAACCAGCAGGAGGUUCAGAGGAAAGCCAUGGAAACGAUGAAGACCAGGAAAAUGAAAUGCAAACAUGUAUCCUGGGGAGGUGGAUGGAUACUAUGGUAGACAUUUCAGGGAAGACCACCUUUCCAGGAUCCAUGAUCUCCCUCCUGCUACUAUCUCCAUUCUCAGCCAGGAGGUUUAGGUCUCCUCCUUGGAUUUGGCUGGGGCCAACUCUUUGGCUCAGGGGAGGAACACAUUGGUCCCGGAUGCAGCUUCUGGCUGAUUCGCUCUGGCGUUUUCUCAGGGAGGGGACAAACUGAAAGAGAGAGAGAAUCUUAAGCAGCCUCCAUGCCCAACACAGAGCCUGAUGUAGGGCUCUAUCUCACCACCCUAGAUCAUGAGCUGAGCCAAAAUCAAGAGACGGAUGCUUACCCGACUGAGCCACCUAGGAGCUCCUCAGGGAUAUCUGCUGAGAAACACAACUGCACUUGUGACAUGGGACCAAGGGGGACAGAACUAGAGCCAAAGGU